GAAUAUGGCCAAAGUUGUGCAAAGAACAUGCAGAACAGAUCUGGGAGGUGUUGAAGGAAAUUAACCGUCUAGAUGUAGAGCUUGUGUGAAUUUCAGAUGUCCCAGGAUACAAAGAGCAGAGGCUGGCAGUGAAAGACCUCGGCUCCCCCACCUGCUCCAGGGAGAGACCAGAGCGACCCCCAGAUUUUAUCACCGCCACCCCCACCCUCACAAAAGGUACAGCUUUGGACCUGAAGGGUUGGGGAAGAAUUGUUCUCCAACUAAAAGAGAGAAAACCCCAAUGCCCCACAGAGCGUGAGAAGGGCAAGAGCAUGAAGCUGACGGAAGGACGAAGACAAACGGCAACAACGCAAACCUGGGCACCACAGACUUUACAGAUGUACACCGCACAGGUCAGCCUCGGCCACACACGUUCAUCAGAUGUGGCCUCAAAAUCAGCUCCCAGCCUACUGCUCUGUGAGCACCAGCGCCCGUGCAGGGGUAGCCAAGAGCCACACUGUCACCUCUCGGAGGAGCCCUCUGCCUCGAGGACUUCUGUGAGCCAUGCCAGUGGGCUCUGGCUCAGCGUUCAUGAUUUUGUCCCUUUUGAAGUCCUCGAGAUUUUAUUCCUUCAGUUUCCGGGAGUUACGUGCCACGGCGAUUUCAGCCCAGUAGCACUUUGGCUGUGACAAAAAGAAGUGACGGGGAGGGCCUGCUGCAUGGGCCGUGUCCGACGCUGCCACCCAGCUCGACUGUUCACACUCGCCGUCAGAGAAUGCGGGGUACAGAUUCUGUCUCCAGGACCCCAGCCCUGUGGCUUUCCUGUCUAAUAAACUGAGAACUCUGACCCGUGUGCUCUUCGCA
rnacentral:lncRNA from 1 species